rnacentral:rRNA from 1 species
AGAGUUUGAUCCUGGCUCAGGACGAACGCUGGCGGCGUGCCUAAUACAUGCAAGUCGAGCGGAACCUUUGGAGCUUGCUCCAUUGGUUUAGCGGCGGACGGGUGAGUAACACGUGGGCAACCUGCCCUGCAGAUCGGGAUAACUCCGGGAAACCGGUGCUAAUACCGAAUAGUUUGCGGCCUCUCCUGAGGCUGCACGGAAAGACGGUUUCGGCUGUCACUGCAGGAUGGGCCCGCGGCGCAUUAGCUAGUUGGUGGGGUAAUGGCCCACCAAGGCCACGAUGCGUAGCCGACCUGAGAGGGUGAUCGGCCACACUGGGACUGAGACACGGCCCAGACUCCUACGGGAGGCAGCAGUAGGGAAUCUUCCGCAAUGGACGCAAGUCUGACGGAGCAACGCCGCGUGAGUGACGAAGGUUUUCGGAUCGUAAAACUCUGUUGUGAGGGAAGAACACGUACCAGCUAACUACUGGUACCUUGACGGUACCUCACCAGAAAGCCACGGCUAACUACGUGCCAGCAGCCGCGGUAAUACGUAGGUGGCAAGCGUUGUCCGGAAUUAUUGGGCGUAAAGCGCGCGCAGGCGGUCCUUUAAGUCUGAUGUGAAAGCCCACGGCUCAACCGUGGAGGGUCAUUGGAAACUGGAGAACUUGAGUGCAGAAGAGGAAAGUGGAAUUCCAUGUGUAGCGGUGAAAUGCGUA